rnacentral:rRNA from 1 species
GGCAGUGUUCGGUACACUCGUAGCGUAGUAAUCUUUUCUCGCUUCUGUGGUGGUCCGGAUAUCUCGCCGUAAAACCCCCUAUUUUCUCAAGGUUGACCUCGGAUUAGGUAGGAAUACCCGCUGAACUU